GUGGUCACAGGAGGGCGGUGAACCAGGUUCCUGUGAGCGCCCGCGGAAGCAUUCGGGUGACUGCGGGCCGCGGGUCUCGCGACCUUUCUCGUGCUGCUGGGCUCGGCUCGCAGCUAUGGCGCGGAAGUCGAAUUUGCCUUUCAUUGUCAUUCCGCUUCUGCUCAGCCCGGCUGUGGUGUGCGGCUGCGGCCCUCUCCCCUUGGUCGUCAACACUUGGCCUUUUAAGAACGCGACCGAAGCAGCAUGGCGGACGUUAGCAUCUGGAGGGUCUACCUUGGAUGCAGUGGAGAAUGGCUGUGCCGUGUGUGAGCAAGAGCAGUGUGAUGGCUCUGUAGGCUUUGGAGGAAGUCCUGAUGAAAUUGGGGAAACCACCUUGGAUGCAAUGAUCAUGGACGGCACUACUAUGGAUGUAGGAGCAGUAGGAGAUCUUAGACGAAUUAAAAACGCUAUCGGUGUGGCACGGAAAGUACUGGAACAUACAACUCACACGCUUUUAGCGGGAGAGUCAGCCACCAAGUUUGCUGAGAGUAUGGGAUUUAUCAAUGAAGAUUUAUCUACCAGUGCUUCUCAUACUCUUCAUUCAGAUUGGCUUGCUAGGAAUUGCCAGCCAAAUUAUUGGAAAAACGUUAUACCAGAUUCUUCAAAAUACUGUGGACCUUACAAACCACCUGGGAUCUUAAAGCAGAACAGUCAUACCUCUAAAGAAAUAAGAGAUGAUUAUGGUCAUGAUACUAUUGGCAUGGUUGUAAUUCAUAAGACGGGACAUACUGCUGCUGGUACAUCUACAAAUGGUCUAAAGUUCAAAAUACCUGGUCGAAUAGGAGAUUCCCCAAUACCUGGAGCCGGGGCCUAUGCGGACGAUGCUGUAGGGGCUGCUGCAGCCACGGGGGAUGGAGAUAUAUUGAUGCGCUUCCUUCCAAGCUACCAAGCAGUAGAAUAUAUGAGAAGAGGAGAAGAUCCCACCAUAGCUUGCCAAAAAGCUAUUUCAAGAAUUCAAAAGCACUUUCCAAAAUUCUUUGGAGCUGUUAUAUGUGCCAAUGUGACUGGAGGUUAUGAUUACAUGGCUGUUACAGAGAAUGAGGUAAAGCCCUGUGAAUUGUUCAAUUGACAUUCAAGACAGGAUGCUUCACACAUUGAGAUGAGUGCUAUUCCUUUUGUUUCCUUCUAAAAGUCUACUGGGGAAGUUUAAUCAAGGAGACUUCGUGGGAGUUAACAUGUGCAAAAUGUGCAUCAGACAUCAUCAAUGCUCCAGGACUGUCUACCAACCACUCCAAAAGUCUUGCUAGAUUUGAGAAAAGAAAUGCAAAUAAAUAGAAAGAAGAAGACAAAAGUAGUCACAGGAGUACAUGACCAUCAACAUCACUAUGAAGCUUUAAAAAGAUUUGAACUGGGAAGGCCCAAGUGUCAGAGGUGGAAGCUAGAAAGUCUGUGCCAGCAGGCUGAGGGAUCUGCACUAGAGCCAAGAAGCAACACUCGACGUAAGAACCAGAGCUCCCCUCAAAAGUACCGCAGCCCUCCUCAGUAAUGACAAGGUUCCAAGCUUCUCUUCUAAGUUCAUAUCAGGAAACUAGCUUGACAAGCUUCUCCUGGAGAUUGAACAGCACACAUCUUACCCUGAGUCAGGAAGUGGUAAAGACCAGAGCUCCCCAAAGUGAACCACAGUCAUUCUCAGCAACAACAAUGUCCUGAGUUCCUCUGAAGAUGAGAACAACCAAGUUCAUAUUAGGAAAGAAGCUCAACAAGCUGCUCCAGGUGAGGCAACAGCAACAUGAGAACCAUCACCAGCACAGAGAACUGAUGAUACUCAGCUCUUCCUCUCCAGUUCUCCUUUUUAUUUUGGCAACAAUCCUCAGGUGGACCAUCCACACUCAGCACCAUGCUGAUUCAGUUGAUAUUACAAGUUGACCACUAGUUAUCAAUCCAUCACUAUAUAUAUAUAAUAUAUAUAUAUCUCACAUUUUUUCAUCAUUUCUGUUUACUCUAGUAUUUGUUAUAUUUUAAAACAAAGAUUAAAUUUUUGCCUUAUUAGCUGGAGAUACACUGCUAAGUUUAGCAGUAGUGCACGUAUUAAUUACAUGCAAUAUCACAACUAUGUUCAUAAAAUAAAAUAUAUCAAAUACUUUUUUAAUAUUCUAUUGCACUAUUAUGGGCCCUUAGAUAUAGCAUGUACUAAUAGAAAUAAUCACUCCGUAAUUUGUAUUUUUUUUUUUGUCUUUUUCCUUUUUAUCGGUACCUGGGAUGGAACUCACGACUGCCUGCUUCCAAGGCAGGCGCUUUAUGCCGCUGAGCUAAACCUCCAGCCCCUGUAAUUUGUAUUUUUCUGAAGUGUAGCUUUUUACAUGGCCAUUACUCUUAGACAGGGCUUUAUCCUUAUUUUAUUUUAAGAAACAAAAGAGUUCCAGAAGUUUCCUGGGCUGUCUUGUGCGAUGUACAUUUAUUAUAACUAAAACCCACUAGCAAUUUUGAUCACGGAAAAGCGGGCAUGAGGGGAAAAUUGGAAGAAAUCCUUAAACAUGUUUCCUACUAUAUGUUCUCUAAAUGCAGGCCAGCGUUACAGAGCAAACAGAAGCCAGAAAUGAAGACAGUGUCUCUGUCUCAGGCUCACAGACAUGAGGCCUCACAUAGUGUCCACAUGUCUUCAGAGAGUCAUCCAACAUUUAAGCAUAGCUUGUGAGUGUGUAUUUUAAUUUGUUACAUUAUGAAAGGGGAUACAGUUGAUUUUAGGUUCAUGAGUUCAGAUUCUAACAGCUGAUCUGCCACUGACCUGGAAUCAUUACAUACAAUAGUUGCUAAGGCUGCAGGAAAUUGAAAAGAAGCAAGCCUGUGCAGUUUUUCCUACCCAUGAGCUGAGAUAGGUACUCCCCAGGGAUGAUACUAGUUCACGCAGUUUGAGGAACUGAUUGUCCUUGUUUAGAACUUCAUGGAAAACUUACUGACAGGCCUGCACUGAGAAAUGAUCCUCUCCUUAUCAGUCUGGUAGAGAACACUGAUAAAAACCUCUCUCUCAUCCUACAGAAAUAAAUCUGCACCUAACACCAGAAAAUCAAUAACAUAUCAAUGUUUUCAACUAUCGUGCAUGUAUUCCAUCGUCUACUAUUCUGUCCAGAGCUAAGAGUUUUCAAGCACAUCAAUCUACUAUAGCAUUAGGUAAUCUGCAAUAUAUUAUUACUGCAUGAACCAGUAGGCAUAUGUUGAUGCUAUCAGUCCCAGACUAAAAAAAAAUAUAAAGUGACAAUGUUGUCCAAGGACAGUAGCUACUGACAAUAAAGAGAGCACUCCUCAAAGGAAAUACAAUUAUAUAAGCCUGAAGUACUCUAAACAACUGGUAGAUGAAAUUCAAGAAAUAACAAUCAGAAUCACAUCAUGUCUCUGUAAACAUUGUUCACCUUGAGUUAGAACAAGGUUCAAUAGUGGAUCUUUUCUUUUACAAAGGUGAUGACUAAUAUCUUACAGAAGCACUAAAAAGAAUCAAGGAAGCAGAACUCAUCUUUAUAUUUUGCAAUGGCUUAGGUUAAACUCAGAAAGACAUACUGAGAUUCAACAGGCAUAUUAUCUCUUAGACCUUUUUCAUUUUCCUGCAAAAAUUAAAUAGGUGACCGUGCAUUGCAAUUACAUAAAUCCUGACAGUUUUUAUCAUGCAGUCAACCAAGGUAGUAGAUUGCUUGUCUUUUUUUGCCAACAUAUUAGCUUUGAAUUUCUGUAAGUAAUAUGAAAAAAAGAGAACCUGUUAUUUCUUUUGAAAGUUUUUGAAUUCUGAAAGUAAUUUCCCAAAUUCUGUUCAAGGCUUCAAAGAAAGAACACAAAGGCAGCCAAAUACAAAAAUCUAGUGAUGCAUUUAAACCAAACAAGGGCCUGUCAUAAAGGUAAAAUAAAUGAUGUCACCAAAGGCAGUGAAAAUUUGAUGACAAAGGAAGAGAUUACAAUGGAAGGAGUUUGGGGAACAAUAAAACAGAUAUACUGCUCUUACACAUCUUCAUAAACCCUGGUAGUCUAUCAAUUUUUGUAAGUGAAAUAAAUUGACUAUCCUCCAAGUAACGAUGACAUCACAAUUUAUUCUUUUUCUGGUUACUGCUUUCCAUGAUGGAACUUCAACCUCUUUUAUAGAGCUCUCAUAAACAUAAGAGAACUUUCUACAUGAUUGAAUGUGACACCUGGCAAAUUGCAAGAAAAGCCUUCUCUACAUCUUUAAAUAUAGAGUUGUAAGAUGUAUUGCACAGGUUUAACUUACCGUAAAGCUUUUGGGCCAAAAAACAUAAACAGCUCUUUCCCCAAAGUUUCCACACCACUGUAAAGGUAUCCAUUAAGCAGUCUCAAGAAAUUCUGGCUGGAAUCAUUGCUAUCUUUCAUUGCAGCAGCCUAAUAGAAAACAAAUACAUGUAUAAACACUCCCAUACAUCCAAACUCUAAACAAAAUUAUAAUUUAAUUCUUAAAUGUAUUUGUAUUUUUUCAUGCCUACGUGCAUUCCAGUGAGAAGAAUAAGCUCCAACAAGUAUUACAAUCAACUGUUUACAUAUAUUUUGUUCAAUUACUAUAUACUAACAUAAAGAAAGAGCUCAAAAACAUUAAGUGGAAAAAAGUAAUUGGCCGACAAUCAAAAUAGGUUUCUUCCAGCUCUGCUCAUAUGAAAAGAAAACACAGGAAAAGAAGGCAAAUGCUCUGAACUAACAAGUGGAACAGAGUCAUCUAUUUCCACAGGGUAGCAAGGAAUAACUGAAAACGAUAGGUAACAUAUGUAAACAAAUUAACUUUAACUGUGUUAAUGAACUUUUAAGCAAGACAUAACAAUGGGUCAAAGCCCAAGUAAAAGUAGGACAGACUCUUAAAGGGGAGGGUAAAGAAGACCCUGAAACCAAAUUUUACCAUAAGGGCAUGUACUAGACCCAAAGUAUGAGAAAGUUUCCAUUCACUUUGUCUUGAGUGGCUAUAGUAGAUCAGAAAUAGAGCCUGGAGUCCUGUAAGUAAAAGAAUCUAAUUACAGACCUGCCCUAUUCUAAGCACAAUGUUAAAACUGAAACUGCAUUUCCCUUUCCCCCAACAGCCUUCAAAACCAAACAACAGAUUAUUAGGAUUAAAAUCUAUGUACUGAAAAAUGUAAGAAAACUAAGGAUAUCAUAGACCUACCAAGACACAAAACAUAGGCUCUGUGAAGACAAUACUGGCCUUCAACAUAGACACUGGCAAUGUUCUUUUACUUAAAUUGAGCAUUAGGUAUACUUGUUAUAGGUGACUAAGUCAGAUAAAAAUAUAGGUAGUCAGAUAGGGAUAGGACCUCAAACAAGCCAGUGUGCAAGACAAGAUACCUGGCAACUGUGGGAGAGUCAGACACCUCUGCUGUGGGCCAGACCUCAAGAAAAAAACAUCAAAAAAUGCAUCCACAAACUUCCUAAGGAUAAACAUCAGGGAUUGGUAUUCUAAAUAGGUAUCAUCACUUUGAGGUGUCCAUUUUAUUAUAAUUUUCUUACUGAGAUAUUUUAUGAACAUGUGUAAUUUGCACUCAAAAUUCAAUAAAAAAAGUAAAACUUACAAAUUCAUAACUCAGGUUGUUAGACUGGUGUCGCAAGGAAGACUCCAAGGGCCUCGCUCUCAUGUAAAAACAAAGGGGUUUUUAUUAUUCCGUGUACACGGGGUCCUCCAAACAGGUGGAAACGGAGAACCCUGAGUUGGGGCAGGGCUGGUGUUUUUAAGGGGGAAAAACUGCAAUGUAAGCAUUUAUUACAGAAGCCAAUCAUUACAGUUAGUGCGGAGCGGUGGGCAUCUUAUCUAUCUGCUAUUGGUCAGUUCAUAAGGGGUGACCAGCAGGUCAGAGUUAAUUAACUGUCUUUGUUCUGCACAACUUGUCUUUAAGACACCUGGUUUCUGUAGACUUGAGUCUGACAUAUUUUACAACCCUGAUUAGCAUAAUGGCAGCCUCUAUCUCUGAGUUCCCUGGCACAGCACAUCCCCAGCAUAUCACAGCCACAGAGGUUGUUUUUAUUUCUGCAGGGCUGAGUUAGGACUGAGUCACGAGGCCCAGUGCUGUUUCUAGCUGAGAAACAGCAUCUUGUUUUUAACCUUUAAAUUUCUGGUUCUACAAGGUAAAAUAAAAUAGGUACAUAUAAUUAUAACCAUACAUUUGUACUUAAGGUGACAGACAUCUUGCCUCCAACAUGUUUGUCCUUUUUCUCAAAGGGCCUAACGAUCUUGAAGAUAAAUCAAUUGGGAUGGGGAACAUAGCAGGUGAUUUACCUUUUGAUAGCGAGCCUAAAAGAAUCACAAGUUUUUCUCAGCAGAAGGUAUAAUGAUAAAAAAUUUUGGUUAAUAAAUAUGUCAUUCUAAAUGCUUAAGAUCAUGUAUUCACAAUAGUAAUACAUGCAUUUUAGUAAAUUAGUCCUCAUUUAAAAAACAACAAAAAAGACACUAUGGUAGUAUUCUUCCAUUAAAGCUACUUAGUUUGUAAUGAUGACAGCAGAUGGUAGAAUCACUCAGUUUUAAGGAGAUUUAAAUCCCUCCUUUCACAAUAAGCAUUGCAUAAUUAGCCAUCAGCUUAUAAUAACUGACUGUUACAGUUUGUGUCUAGAUGUCCCCCUAAAGCCUCAUGAAGUCAUACGAUGAGCUUCUAAAAUUUGUGAUAGAUUCAUGGUCUAAUACUGGGAAUAAGGAUAUGAGAGCUACACUCACUCUAGGGUAGGCAGCUAGCCCACAAUAUUAAGGCCACAAAGAAUCUUGUCUCUCUCUCUCUCUCCUUUCUCUCAUGUUGCUUUUGGUAUCUUCCAUGCCUGUCUGCCACGUGCCACCCUGCCUUAGUGCCAGCUGAUGUCUGAAACCUCUACAAAGUAUGUGCUAAAUAAACUUCUCCUGCUUUAACUUUGGGUAAUGGGUAUUUUGUCCCAGCAAUGAGAAAAAGUAAAUAAGACACUGAUAGAUAGACAGGAAUUGUUAAAAGUGAUAGAUGCUGGAUGUGGUGGUGCACACCUGUGAUCUCAGCUACUCAGGAGUGUGAGGUGAGAGAUCACAUGUCCAGGCUAGCCCGGGCAAGAUUCUCAAUAAAAUUUAAAAAGUCUCCAACUACAGUUGAGGCCUUAGAUUUCUAUGUCCUUUACCAAAAAUAAGUAUAUAUAUAUAUGGGUAGACUUCCAGUUUUGCUUUACUCUCAAAAAGAACUUGUGGGAGAUUCUAACAUCUGGAAGUAAAGGUACAUAUGUCACCAUGUCCUCAGAACUUCUGCCACUGACUUCCCUCUCUUGGAUGAACUCAAGGGCCCAGCUUGGUUAUUAAGCACUGGCAAUGCAGGCUUGAGUACUCAGUGAGGAACAAAACGCAUUUCCACACGUGCCUUGCUUUUAUAAAUAAAUCUGUUGGAGUUCUGAAUUGAGAGGCAACAAGAGUCUUGACACUUCUUUCCUUCACAAGAGAUUCUAAGCCACUUAUGUACACUUCAAGCCAAUACAGAUUACAGUAGGAGUCAAGGUAGAUUUCCAUGACAACUGAUUAACGAAUAAAGCCUUCUCAUAAACUAACCAGGAUACUUUUAAGAUGACAAUAUACAGAUCAGAUAUAGGUUUAUUGAGAGUAAUUUAGAGAUCACCUUUUUUAUAUUUGUAGAAUCUCAGAUUUAAGGUCUUAACUAUCAUCUAAAAUUAAUUUAUAUACUAAUGGUUCAGGGCUUCAUUUCCCCACCAUUCCAGUACUCACCAUCUCUUAUUCCCCCUUCCUCAAUGUUCUUCUUUACCGGCCAGUUUUGCUCACAUUCUCUGAAACCUUCUGGCUUCUGUUAGGCCUGCUACUACACGGAGUGAUGAACUUUAUCCUACUUAAUAUAUAUAGACACAUGCACACACACACUCCUCAGACACACACACACACACACACACACACACACACUCUAUACAUUCAUAUAUAGCAACCUUCCCUGGUUCUUCAUUGGAACAGCAAAAGCUAGUGCUAUCCUGACUUUCUAACUUCUGAUAGCUACUUUAAGUUUCAUAAAUUAAACCCCAAACACAAAACCAAUUAACUGUCUAAUUGGCUAAUUAAAAAUGCUGUCAGCUGCCAUAUCAGUUUCUUAGGGUAGAGCCUCCUCAUUCCUGACUACUGGACUUCACUUUUCCUAAAUGGGAACUCACAGGAUUAAGCUACUGUCACUUACUACCUGUCUGCUUGCUAUCCCAAUCUCCGUCCCUUUACUCAGUUCUGACUAUCGUAUUUUUUAAUGGCUCUUGGCCAAGAAACAGAUACGUAGCCUUGAAAAAAGCACUACUGUCACAAUUAAUAAAAUAGUAAAGAAGUCCCAACAGUUCCAUGUGAAAUCUACUCAUGUUGCUAAAGUAAUCGCUUGAAAAGAAUUUAGUUUAAAACUUUAGAAGCUUAGAGCUAUACUGGUUCAUCUUUUCAUUUGGCAUUUUGUACAACACAAACAUCCUAUCUGCAAAGAGGAAAUGGGCCAUUCAUGGCCAUUUAACUAAAUUAAUUCAUUUUGGAAAAGUUCACUGAUCUUCCACUAUACACCAGACUUUAUUUUAGAAGUUGGGCAUAUACCAAUUAAAAUAACUAAAAUCAUCCUGUCUUUAUGGAGUUUAUAUUCUAGUAGGGGAAAAACAUAGGCAAUAAACCUAAGAAUAUCAUAUUUUAGAGAAUUUUGAAAAGAAAUUGAGAUAAAAAGAGAUCAAAAUGGAGGAAUAUGUAAUGGGUUACAGUUCAGUAGCCAUAAUCUCAGUGGGGGAGUGGGCAUUUGAACAAGUUUCAGAUCACAAGUGACCUAUAAUUCACAUAAAAGGAAUGACAGUUCAAACAGGUCAGUAUGGCCACAGCACACACAAUGGAGUAUUAGAAGUAAAUGAAACUUAACAUAUAGCAGGAAUCACAUUAUGUGGUCCACAAAGUCUGACCUAAGGACUGGCUUUCUUUUGGGAUAGCACUAGAGUAGAAGAGAAAGUGAUCUAUGUUAUUAUUUUAAAUUGUUCCUCAGCAGUGAGAUAGAAUUCUGGCUCAGCAGAUUGAGAUGGAAAGUCAGGAAAGUACUUACAAGUCUACUGCAAAAAUCCUGCCAAGAAAUAAAGGAAAUUUGGACCAGUGGGGAUGGAGGAGACAAUGAAAAUUGGUCAGAUCUCUAAGUGUGUUUUGAAGAUGGAAAUGCCACUCACCAAGAUGAGAAAGACUUGGGUAAAACAUGUUGGGAAAGGAAAAAAGCAGGCUAUUAAACAUAUUAAGGUUGAGAUGUGUAUUAGAAACAUGUUAAAUAAGCAGAUGGAUAUAGGAGUCUGGAUUUAAGAGAGAUGUCUGUUCCAAAGAAAAGCAAUUAUUCAAUUAUAUGUAGAGAAAUGAUGUCUAAAACCCUGUCAAAGAGGAGACACACGAGAGAGUGCACUUAGUUAAACAGGAGCCCAAGAACUAAAGUCUGGACCACUCUGAUGAUAUAUUGGUGGGAAGAAGAACCCCUGAAGAAUGCUACGAUGUCAGACAGAGAGGAAGACUUAGGAGAUUGGAAAGACGAUUGGCAAUGCAUGUCCAAAAUCAAAACAAGGGCUCCUGUAAGCAAGUGAAUAACACAUUUCUGGGAAGAGGACAUGGGAAGCACUGCUGCUAACAAAUCAUAUAAGAUGAAGACUGACACUUGAUCACUGGAUUUAGCAAUUUGUUAGUAAUUAGUGACAAGAGUUUCAGAGAAGUGAAAGGGGACAAAAAUUGAUUUAUAGUUCCUGUAUCAAAACACUGAAUUUUAAUUUAUGAAGAACACAGCUGAAAUAUCUCAACAGCCAAUGCUGAGAGGCGGGUUCAGAAAAGAUUUGUUUUGUUUUCUAUAAUUAGUCUACCAAUGCACCACAGGAUGUCCUGCAGAAGACUCUGCAUCUACAGAUUUUUUAAUGAUCUGAGAUUGUAGGAAUAUCUAAAUAUGGAAAAAAAUGAUCAUUUAGUUAAGAAAAAAGUAUCUGGAGACAAUUCUUCAAAUCUUUAUAGUUUCUAUUAACAAGAUAAUGGUGACUAUAUUGCCCUCACAAAUAAAUAUUGUUUUGCAUAGGAGGAGGAGUACAAGAAUAUGAAGGUCAAUAUACUUAAAAUGCAUAAGGCCAUUUUAUAUCCUUGCACUAUGGUCAGGGGCAAGGAAUUAUUUUCCUGGCUGCCAUAAUCUCAAAGAGAACCUUGAACCAAAGUCUGAAUGUUGUAGCAUUUCUUACAUGUUCUACUGGUGUUUUGACCUACUCUUCAUAAUUAAAAAUAUAAUGUAACAUCACAAAUUGGAAACACAAAAAACUGAAAAUUCUACAAAUGUUGAAAAGAUGUUUAUGGCCCCAUAAAUGUGACUGUUACAACAGAUGUUGGCAGAAAGCAAAGAGAGGAAUGAUCACAGGUGGAGAACUAUUCAUUUGUGGAAAAAUACUGACCUGGAACUACCAGCUGAUGUCACCCCAGCAGAAAUUCUUCCCAUUUCAGCGGCUAUGUGACCUCGGUUCAACUAUGUUUAAGAAUUAAGUGGUUUCUUUUUUUUAAUACCCAAUGAUGAAGUGUUUAGGAAUUAAAAUGAAAUGUUCUAUAACCUCUUCAGUGCUCCCAUAUACAGUUUGUAAUCCUCUCUGACUUUAGAGUUUUCCUACCUGAGCAGCUGAAUAAGCUUGCAGAUUUCUAGCUGCCACAUUUAGCAUAGUGUUUUCUAAACUACAGUCAUGGUAGUGAUACUAAUGAUCUUGAAUUAUAAUUUGUCUGUAACUUGUAUUUCUCCCUUAUCUGUGUAUAUUUAGCUAGUAUCCUCAAGAUCUGUACAUAAUGCCUGUGGUUUAGUAAACAUUUGUGGAAUCCCUCCUAAAACUGACAGUAGUUUCAAACAAUAGUGUCACUGUUUCUCUACCUACCAUGUCCAAUUGGCUUUACCUGUCAAAAAUUCAUCUUUUAAAAAUCUAUUGAUAUAUCAAUGCCUUAUUUUCUUAUCUGCAAUCAAAUGAGACUUAAAUAUCAGAAGACAGAUUUUUCAUACCCACCAAAAGCUAGUAUUGUACUUAUCAGAAUUUCCCAUAAAAGAAAAAGAACAUUAUGGGAAAAUUUGGAAAGGGAUUGAUGUACGUUCAACAACCAUUUCCAAAGUACUCUAUUCUCUCACUCUCUUUCUCUCUCUUUUUUCCCUCUUCCCCCUUCCUUUCUUUGACGUGUUUACUUAGCAUUUAAUUGUUGCUUAUACUUCAUUUUUGCUUGGAUAAAUAUGAUAAGUAAAGAUCACUUUACUGAGUUGUCCAUCAUGCAGGCAACUUACCCAAGUUGGCUGAUUCCUAUGUCUAUGAUUUCUAAAAUAAUCAGCUCUGCAAAAAACUUUUGCAAAAAAAAUAAAAUUUUCAAUUUAUGAUUGACCAUCACAAGCCCUACAUGUAUUUUGCAUUGUUUCUUUAAAAUUCUAUUUUAUGAGGAAAUGCUGUAUACCAGUGAUGAAAUGUUCCAUUUAUUUUGUAAGCUAUUAUGUACAAAGUGGGUGAGGCUUUCACCAUAAAUCUAAGAUUUACAAGAUACUCACUUGCCCUGCUGUAGAACAGGGGUUAUCACCUUCUUCUAUAAGCUUCUGCUGCCUAGACAAAUGCAAAAAUUAAUUUCCACAAGCCUAUUAUAUUUGCUAUAACUAUACUCAAUUGCCCAAUAUAUACUUGACUUUCUCAUGUUGACCCAUAUGAUCCUACUACUGUAUUAUUUGAACAUUUCAACCUUCCUUUUUCUGAAAUAGAGAUGAAAAUCUCCUUUGCCACAAUUUUAAGUAUGAUUGAGUAGGGUUCACCUUCCCAUUUUCAAGUGGCUUAAUAAUAUGAAAUUUUCCAAACAACACAUAUUUUCAGAGGCAGUACAUGAUUUAUUGUGCUGAUUACCAUUUAUCCUGCCUAUCCAUGAGUGAACAAGGAAGAUGAACUUUCCAGAACACAAUAAGACGUUUUCAUAGAUAAAUGUUUCAACUUUACUGCAGUUAUAUAUUUUCUCCAGAGAAGAUCUCAUAUUUAUUUUUGUAUUCUCUCCUCUUUCCUCAUAUUUCUUUACUGUAAUAUGACAUUUUUCUUAAUAAGAGGCCAUUCAUCUUUUAAUCCAAACCAUCAAAGAACCUAAUUUUAAAAUGGUCUUUAAAUUCCAAAAUAGAUAAAGGACUUUAGAUUCACAUAAUCUAUAACUUUUAAAGAGCAAAAUCUCUUAACACUUACCCAGAACCUAAAUACUUUGCAUCUUACUUGAUAGCUUCAAAUGUUACAAGCUUUUCACAGGGUAAUAGUUUUUGAGAUAAAUGGGUCUGGUGAGAAAGCCUCAAUGCAAGAGAAAAGACAAUUAGCAGGUUGCUUAAGUUAUCACACUAAACUAAGAGUUGUAUUUGCCUUUAAUUUGACCAACUAAACUAUAACAUGAGUACAAGCAACUCCAGAUGAGGGGUGACAAAGGAGUGGAAAUUCAAAAUCAAGAUGAUCAGAUGUUCUUUUCUCUACAAGCAUACUAAACAGUGUUAGGUAAAAAGUUACAACGGUCAUGGAAAAAUCACUCUUUUUUCAUUGCUUGUCUGUAAGAAUAUAUUUGCUCUCUGCUAUCUCAUUUUUGUGAGUCCAUAUAAUGCUGGAUUUUGAUAAUAAAGAUACCAAAUUGCUACAGAGAAAUCAUUAUCAAUAUCCAUUUAAGAAGGGAAGAAGUAUAUAAUACAUGUUCUGUAAAAUAUUUAAAACUUUGGAUACUUAUAGGAGUGAACUUCACUUAGCUGAAAGUGAAUUUCUGUGGAUUACCUCAUUUGUUCAAAUAACAGAGAUGAACUAUGAUUUCCCAUUUUGAAGAACAGGUGGAAAACUUACCUAGGAGGCUUUAUUAUUUUUGUGAAGAGGGCAUUUCCAAAUAACACACCCAAAAAAGAAUACACAUAUAAUGAACAAUUUCAAAUGGAACUUAUUUUUAAGUCUGUAAUCAUUCUGCAGUAUGCAAAUGUUGCUUUUCUUCAUUUACCUUUUACUAAAUGCCUAAUGUGUCCACGGCACUCAUAAAUACAUGUCUGAAAUCUUUAGUCAUAGUAGUUACAUGAUCAUGUUUCAAAAUAACUGAAUGCUUAUAGACUACUUCAUAUCCUGUUCUGUGAUGGGAGAUUAAAACACACAUAUUACACACUGAUUUCCCUAAAAUAUUAUAUCCAUUCAACAUUUAAAAUCAUAGAAUUGACUCUUCAGAGCUCAUUAGCCAGACAUGUGCAUUUACAUUCCAAUAUUGUUUCUUACCACAAGGUUCCACAGAUCCAGCAGAGUUUUAUACAACGUGCUUACACAGUUGCAUAAUUUUAUGCUGACAAGACAGUGGAUCAAUGGGGCUGGAGAUUUAGCUCAGCGGCAUAAGUGCCUGCCUUGUAAGCAGGCAGUCGUGAGUUUGAUCCCCGGUACCGAUAAAAAGGAAAAAGACAAAAAAAAAAAAAAAAAAAAAGACAGUGGAUCAAAACUCCAAGAAAUAACUCUGUGCAUACAUGACUGGCAGAUGCUGGGAUUCUUCUACGGCUAGCCUUUCUUCCUUAAAAUGAGGAUCAGUUUACACAGGGAAAGAUGCAUUAAAAUAUAUUUUCUGUAACUUUAAAGUAGAGAAAAUAGGAACACUAUGUGACAAACAGAAUAACUGGUUUGCUAUGGCAGUAGUGACAGAUAAGGGUUGCUUUUUUUCUUUUUCUUUUUCUGGCUUGGUUUUUGAAACAAUGAUCAUCUGAAAUUUAAAUCUGUUACAUCCCAGUUAAUACUUUUAGCUCUCAUUUGUAUUUUUUUGUGUUUAUUGAACUGUAACUCUAUAGUAUGCAGUAAUAAAGAUAUUUUUAAAUGCCA